GCAAACUUGGUCAUUUAGAGGAAGUAAAAGUCGUAACAAGGUUUCCGUAGGUGAACCUGCGGAAGGAUCAUUAUCGUAGGGCUUCUGCCCUGUCGAGAUAGCGUCCUUGCCUAUUUUUUGGAGUACCUUUUCGUUUCCUCAGCAGGCUUGCCUGCUACUGGGGACCUUUAAAACUCUUUGUAAAUACAGUAAUUGUCUGAAUAAAAAAACAAAAAUCAAAACUUUCAACAAUGGAUCUCUUGGUUCUGGCAUCGAUGAAGAACGCAGC
rnacentral:misc_RNA from 1 species